AUGUUGGAAAAGGUCAGGCACAAAGUUACACAAAGAUUUCAAGAAAACAGGACAAAAUCUGAGAAGUGGAAUUCUAGUCCAAUUUGCCCAAACAUCUUUAAAAAGCUGAAGGUGAAUAUCAAAUUGACACAAUUUUGUGAUGUGCUUUGGAAUGGAAAAGAAGGCUUUAAGGUAAAACAUGUCAGUGGUAGAGGAAGGAGCUACACUGUCAAUUUGGACAAGAGGACAUGCUCUUGUGGUUACUUGCAGCUGGCAGGGCUACCUUGUUGCCAUGCUGUUAGUGCCAUAUACAAGAGUGGCAGAACUAUAGAAGAAUUCAUUGACAAGUGUUAUUCAGUUCAGCAGUUUAAAAAAAUAUAUGAGCACUGCUUGGAGCCGGUGGAAGGUCGGGAAAGGUGGCCUAUUUCUGAAAAACCAAGACCACAAGCUCCAGGUUAUGUGAGCAUGCCAGGUAGGCCCAGGAAAAAUGACAGGAGGAGGGAAGAGGGAGAAGCACCAAAAGGCAGAAAAAUGUCGAAGCAUGGCAUUCAGAUUACCUGUAGCUUGUGUGGUCACAAAGGCCACAAUAAGACAGGUUGCAACAAAAAUCCUGAAAAGGGGAAGAAAAAGAAUGCAUUCCUGAAGAAAUCUGGGAGGAAAAUGAAAGCCUCUGAAGUAAAUGCGCCUGCAUUGCUUCACAUACUUAUUUACUUUCAUUUUAGUAGUUACUCUUGCAUUCUUUCACAUACUUAUGUAGUUUCAUUUAUUUGA
rnacentral:rRNA from 1 species